UACGUAGGGUGCGAGCGUUGUCCGGAUUUAUUGGGCGUAAAGAGCUUGUAGGCGGCUCGUCACGUCGGGUGUGAAAACUCGCGGCUCAACCGCGAGCCUGCACCCGAUACGGGCGGGCUAGAGUUCGGCAGGGGAGACUGGAAUUCCUGGUGUAGCGGUGGAAUGCGCAGAUAUCAGGAGGAACACCGGUGGCGAAGGCGGGUCUCUGGGCCGAUACUGACGCUGAGAAGCGAAAGCAUGGGGAGCGAACAGG
rnacentral:rRNA from 1 species